GGGUUGUGAGGUUAAGCGACUAAGCGUACACGGUGGAUGCCCUGGCAGUCAGAGGCGAUGAAGGACGUGCUAAUCUGCGAAAAGCGUCGGUAAGGUGAUAUGAACCGUUACAGCCGGCGAUGUCCGAAUGGGGAAACCCAGUGCAAUUCGUUGCACUAUCGUUAACUGAAUACAUAGGUUAACGAGGCGAACCGGGGGAACUGAAACAUCUAAGUACCCCGAGGAAAAGAAAUCAACCGAGAUUCCCCCAGUAGCGGCGAGCGAACGGGGAGCAGCCCAGAGUCUGAAUCAGCUUGUGUGUUAGUGGAACGGUCUGGAAAGUCCGACGGUACAGGGUGAUAGUCCCGUACACCAAAAUGCACAGGUUGUGAACUCGAAGAGUAGGGCGGGACACGUGGUAUCCUGUCUGAAUAUGGGGGGACCAUCCUCCAAGGCUAAAUACUCCUGACUGACCGAUAGUGAACCAGUACCGUGAGGGAAAGGCGAAAAGAACCCCGGCGAGGGGAGUGAAAAAGAACCUGAAACCGUGUACGUACAAGCAGUGGGAGCACCUUCGGGUGUGACUGCGUACCUUUUGUAUAAUGGGUCAGCGACUUAUAUUCUGUAGCAAGGUUAACCGUAUAGGGGAGCCGCAGGGAAACCGAGUCUUAACUGGGCGUUAAGUUGCAGGGUAUAGACCCGAAACCCGGUGAUCUAGCCAUGGGCAGGUUGAAGGUUGGGUAACACUAACUGGAGGACCGAACCGACUAAUGUUGAAAAAUUAGCGGAUGACUUGUGGCUGGGGGUGAAAGGCCAAUCAAACCGGGAGAUAGCUGGUUCUCCCCGAAAGCUAUUUAGGUAGCGCCUCGUGAAUUCAUCUUCGGGGGUAGAGCACUGUUUCGGCUAGGGGGUCAUCCCGACUUACCAACCCGAUGCAAACUACGAAUACCGAAGAAUGUUAUCACGGGAGACACACGGCGGGUGCUAACGUCCGUCGUGAAGAGGGAAACAACCCAGACCGCCAGCUAAGGUCCCAAAGUCACAGUUAAGUGGGAAACGAUGUGGGAAGGCACAGACAGCCAGGAUGUUGGCUUAGAAGCAGCCAUCAUUUAAAGAAAGCGUAAUAGCUCACUGGUCGAGUCGGCCUGCGCGGAAGAUGUAACGGGGCUAAACUGUGCACCGAAGCUGCGGCAGCGACACUUAGGUGUUGUUGGGUAGGGGAGCGUUCUGUAAGCCUGCGAAGGUGGCCUGUGAGGGUUGCUGGAGGUAUCAGAAGUGCGAAUGCUGACAUAAGUAACGAUAAUGCGGGUGAAAAGCCCGCACGCCGGAAGACCAAGGGUUCCUGUCCAACGUUAAUCGGGGCAGGGUGAGUCGACCCCUAAGGCGAGGCCGAAAGGCGUAGUCGAUGGGAAACAGGUUAAUAUUCCUGUACUUGGUGUUACUGCGAAGGGGGGACGGAGAAGGCUAUGUUAGCCGGGCGACGGUUGUCCCGGUUUAAGCAUGUAGGCGGAGGUUCCAGGUAAAUCCGGUACCUUUUUAACGCUGAGGUGUGAUGACGAGGCACUACGGUGCUGAAGUAACAAAUGCCCUGCUUCCAGGAAAAGCCUCUAAGCAUCAGGUAACAUUGAAUCGUACCCCAAACCGACACAGGUGGUCAGGUAGAGAAUACCAAGGCGCUUGAGAGAACUCGGGUGAAGGAACUAGGCAAAAUGGUGCCGUAACUUCGGGAGAAGGCACGCUGAUAUGUAGGUGAAGCCCCUGCGGGUGGAGCUGAAAUCAGUCGAAGAUACCAGCUGGCUGCAACUGUUUAUUAAAAACACAGCACUGUGCAAACACGAAAGUGGACGUAUACGGUGUGACGCCUGCCCGGUGCCGGAAGGUUAAUUGAUGGGGUUAUCCGUAAGGAGAAGCUCUUGAUCGAAGCCCCGGUAAACGGCGGCCGUAACUAUAACGGUCCUAAGGUAGCGAAAUUCCUUGUCGGGUAAGUUCCGACCUGCACGAAUGGCGUAAUGAUGGCCAGGCUGUCUCCACCCGAGACUCAGUGAAAUUGAACUCGCUGUGAAGAUGCAGUGUACCCGCGGCAAGACGGAAAGACCCCGUGAACCUUUACUAUAGCUUGACACUGAACAUUGAGCCUUGAUGUGUAGGAUAGGUGGGAGGCUUUGAAGCGUGGACGCCAGUCUGCGUGGAGCCAACCUUGAAAUACCACCCUUUAAUGUUUGAUGUUCUAACGUUGGCCCCUUAUCGGGGUUGCGGACAGUGUCUGGUGGGUAGUUUGACUGGGGCGGUCUCCUCCCAAAGAGUAACGGAGGAGCACGAAGGUUAGCUAAUCCUGGUCGGACAUCAGGAGGUUAGUGCAAUGGCAUAAGCUAGCUUGACUGCGAGCGUGACGGCGCGAGCAGGUGCGAAAGCAGGUCAUAGUGAUCCGGUGGUUCUGAAUGGAAGGGCCAUCGCUCAACGGAUAAAAGGUACUCCGGGGAUAACAGGCUGAUACCGCCCAAGAGUUCAUAUCGACGGCGGUGUUUGGCACCUCGAUGUCGGCUCAUCACAUCCUGGGGCUGAAGUAGGUCCCAAGGGUAUGGCUGUUCGCCAUUUAAAGUGGUACGCGAGCUGGGUUUAGAACGUCGUGAGACAGUUCGGUCCCUAUCUGCCGUGGGCGCUGGAGAAUUGAGGGGGGCUGCUCCUAGUACGAGAGGACCGGAGUGGACGCAUCACUGGUGUUCGGGUUGUCAUGCCAAUGGCAUUGCCCGGUAGCUAAAUGCGGAAGAGAUAAGUGCUGAAAGCAUCUAAGCACGAAACUUGCCCCGAGAUGAGUUCUCCCUGAGACUUUAAGUCUCCUGAAGGAACGUUAAAGACGAUGACGUUGAUAGGUCGGGUGUGUAAGCGUAGCGAUACGUUGAGCUAACCGAUACUAAUGAACCGUGAGGCUUAACCUUACAACGCCGAAGGUGUUU
rnacentral:rRNA from 1 species